ACACGAGGAAGGAGGUGGUCCAGAAGAUGAUUGGCUUUAGGACACGUGAGGUGGCUGUCCGCUAGCUGCCAGCUGCGCCAGGAUUCACCCCCUGCCAUUGGCAGCGAGCGAAUACCAGGCAGCUACCCGGCCCCCGAACCACCGGCUAAGUCCAGUCGGUACACACGGUUCGGGGGCUGUCCGUU
rnacentral:sRNA from 21 species